CUCGAACUCCGUUGUGGAAGCGCGUGGAUCCCGUGGGCUGCAGAGAACCCCCCUGACGAAGACGAGAAGCGCCGAGGAGCGGCGCUCCUUCCUGGUGGGACCUGCAGCCGCUUCUGCCGCCCCCAGAGGUCCUUUCUUUUGGACAGGCGUCUCGUAGAGUGGUGAGUUUUCGGUGCCCCGUCUGGCACCCGACCCUGUCCCGUUUUUUCUUUUCUCUCUUUGCCUCUGUGGGGAUUUAUUUUAAGCUGGUAGAAUGGGCAACCGCCUGUCCCCAGCGCGGCGGGAAUUUUACUCCCACGUUAAAUCCUCCCUUGUUCUGGGGAACCUUUCUUUUAAAAAAGGGGAAUUAAAAGCCUUAGUUAAUCUUAUUUUUGACCACUUCCCCGACACAUCCCUGAAUGAUUUUAAUUCUGUUUCUUUAUGGGGAAAAGUUGGGCGUUUAUUAUAUGAUUUACAAGUGAAGGGAAAUUUUAGGGUUGCCCGUUAUUUUCCGUUAUAUCAUUCCAUUUUCACUUUAUUUAAAUCAAAAGGGGAGAGUUUGGGUCCCAGUUCUCCUUCCCCAUGUUCCGCCCCCCUCUCUCCCAAUCCCGCUAUCCCUAAGGGUGGAUCGGGCGGCAGAACCUGCCAUCCCCCGGCACAGGGCUGGCACCUACUCCCUGCUGCCUCCCGCUCCCCUCUGUCCCUUUCCCGCUCCGGGACUGGCCACCCCGGUGCGGCCCUUUCCGCUCCCCAUACACCAAAAUUCCCCGAUCCCAGUUCAAAAUCCUGUUGCUCGUUGUGUGAUGUUUGUACCUGUCAUAGCACCAAAGAUGGCGCCGGCCACAUGGCCGGGCAGCCAUCUCAGACCGGCUUUAAUGACUGUCUUCAAAAUGGCGAUCCACCACAAAAUGGCGGCCCUUUACCCCCCGUCUCCCUUCCCGCCUCCUCGCGUGGGCCCGCAGCGUCGGGUGCCGCCCCUGCGUCGGGUGCCGCCCUUCCCACCGCGUCGAUGAUGUCAGCGUCGGGACCCGCCCCUGCCGUCCCUGUCUCCACCCCCUCGGAACCACCCCCGGUGGGAGGGACUGGCCCGCGGGAAAGUCACGCCCCCGUGGGUGGGAACCUCC
rnacentral:lncRNA from 1 species